rnacentral:rRNA from 1 species
CACGUAGGGCGCAAGCGUUGUCCGGAAUUAUUGGGCGUAAAGAGCUCGUAGGCGGUCUGUUGCGUCCGCUGUGAAAACCCGGGGCUUAACCCCUGGCUUGCAGUGGAUACGGACAGACUAGAGGUAGGUAGGGGAGAAUGGAAUUCCCGGUGUAGUGGUGAAAUGCGUAGAUAUCGGGAGGAACACCAGUGGCGAAGGCGGCUUUCUGGCCCGUUCUUGACGCUGAGGCGCGAAAGCUAGGGUAGCAAACGGG